GCCUGGGUGGCUUAGUGGGUUAAGCCUCCGACUUCAGCUCAGGUCAUGAUCUCACGGUUUGUGGGUUCGAGCCCCGCAUCGGGCU
rnacentral:tRNA from 1 species